rnacentral:tRNA from 1 species
GGUAAAGUGGCCGAAGUUUAGGCGGUAGGCUGUAAACCUACCCAUAUUGGUUUAGUCCUUUCUUUAUCA